AGUAACGGCGAGUGAACAGGGAAAAGCCCAAAUUUGUAAUCUGGCACUUUUUACAAGUGUCCGAGUUGUAAUUUGUAGAGCUGUUAUCCGUACUGGACCAUGUACAAGUCUGUUGAAAAGCAGCAUCAUUGAAGGUGAAAAUCCUGUAGAUGAUAUGGACUACCAGUAUAUUUGUGAUACGGUUUCUAAGAGUCGAGUUGUUUGGGAAUGCAGCUCAAAGUGGGUGGUAAAUUCCAUCUAAGGCUAAAUAUAAGUGAGAGACCGAUAGCAAACAAGUACCGUGAGGGAAAGAUGAAAAGAACUUUGAAAAUAGAGUUAACAGUACGUGAAAUUGCUGAAAGGGAAACGUUUGAAGUUAGUUUUGUAUUCGUUGGAUCAGCUUCGCAAGGAGUGUAUUCUGAUGAUAAGCAAGUCAACAUCAGUCUAUGAGUAUUGGAUAAGGGUUUUGAGAAUGUAGCAAUUUAAUUGUGUUAUAGCUUGAGACUUGGAUACGAUGCUUUGGAUUGAGGAACGCGUAGUAAGCUUUGAGCGGAUUCGAAAGGAUCUCCUUACUAUGGAUGUUGGUGAAAUAACUUUAAGCGACCCGUCUU
rnacentral:rRNA from 3 species